UACGUAGGGUGCGAGCGUUAAUCGGAAUUACUGGGCGUCAAGCGUGCGCAGGCGGUUUUGUAAGUCAGAUGUGAAAUCCCCGGGCUUAACCUGGGAACUGCGUUUGAAACUACAAGGCUAGAGUGUGGCAGAGGGGGGUGGAAUUCCACGUGUAGCAGUGAAAUGCGUAGAGAUGUGGAGGAACACCGAUGGCGAAGGCAGCCCCCUGGGUUAACACUGACGCUCAGGCACGAAAGCGUGGGGAGCAAACAGG
rnacentral:rRNA from 1 species